CUACUGAAGUAAUCCCAUCUCCCCGAAGAGGCACCCAAACACUGCUCCUUGCGUGUUCCUGGAGGGAGUAUCCUGGCCCAGAACUCAGCACUUACAAUCUGAGAAAUUGUCAGAGACUAUGCCAUAUUUUCUUUAAAUUUCA
rnacentral:lncRNA from 1 species